UUACCAGCAGGGGAGGUCCUUCUUACCAGCAUGAAUUCUUAAUGGGUGAGCUGCAGCACACAAGUUGUAAAGAACACUGUGCCAAGCAUUAGCUCACCCUUGCUGCCAUCAAAGAUACCAUAUAGACCUCCAGAAACUUGCUGGUGAGAAAGCACAAGCAGAUUCCCCCCGUGGCUGUGAUCCAGGUGGCAGAAGCAAAACAAAGCCCGGCACAGCUGCAAGCUGCUGGGAGCAAAGAGAGGACACAGCCACAAAGAAGCAUCGCCUCUGUGCCCAUUCGGACGAAGGAACCAGAGCCACACAGGAAAAGGUCAAAGCAGCAGCGGCCUGGCUCUCCGGGUGAGGCAGGUGGGCAGGAGCAUCAGGGUGGGCAUCCCCUCUGACCAUCAACACUGUUUGCAAGAAUGGGGCGGUUAUUUGAAAUUGUUAAGACAUCACCUCACUCCUGUGUAGAUUUUAAACAUGCAGUGUCAGUUUUAAAAUGUUCUAUGAGAAAAUCUCAUACAAACCAUUUUUAAAUAUUAUUUAAAACAUUGACAUUAUGACCAAAGUCUGAGAGACAGCCUUGGCCCCAGUUCCUACCCUACAUGCCCCAGCAUGCCAAUCAACAAGCUGAGCUUUUAGGAGUUAGCUGUAGUUUUGUUUUCUGCCCUCUGGUUCUAGUAUUUGGAUAUGCAGGGAGGGUGACCUUGUGACAGUCAGCUGCAAGGCUGGUCUGAGGCUUCUUCACUUUUAUUUGUUUUGGUCAAGAUUCCCAGCUCUUUUGGUUUAUUAUGUGAUUAUCAUUUUUCUUUAUAACUAACUCCAACCUCUUCUAUUGAUCAGAACUUUAUAUGUUAUCUGUCCUUUGAGUCUCUUUAAUGUAUGGAGAGAAAGAGGUUGUUAAAACCUUUCUGCCUCAGGACAUUGAAAACAUCAUGCUUAUGAUACAUAAAAACGCUGAUUACCUCUGUGGCAGACUGGUGAAAUCUCCAGGGUGUAACCUAGCCCCUGACCAAAUGACUACUGGAUAUUACCCACAGCUCAUGAAAUCCUCUUAGUUUGAAGGAUUCUUUAAAGUAGUACAACAAGUCAGUACCACUAUCAUACAGACUUGACAGAUUCUAUGCCGGAUGCGCUUCCUGACACAAAAGGGCUUUAAACACCGACACUUCUCAAGAAUCCCCAAAUUGUUCCUCUGGCCACCCUCGUAGUACAAGUGCUCCUCUACAAUGAAAACUUUAUCAACUGUCAGUGCCCCCUUCAAGAUUCACCGAUCCACAACCAGGAUCAGAAGGACAAUAGAAGGCAAUCACUCCCUCCACCAAUCUCCUGCCUGGCUCAACCUGUGUGGAACUACUCACCUCAUCUACACCAAGGUCCACUGUUUCUCGUUCCCUGCAUCCGUUUGAAGACCUUACCAUCAGAAUCUUCAAGCCGCUCCUCUGGUGGCUCUCCUGGCACAAGAACUCCUCUGUAACUCAUCACUCACUGACCUGCCUGUCCACCCUUCAAUGUUUCACUGAUCAACAACUCCAACAAGGAAGAGAAGCACCAAAGGAGACAUUAUUAACUCCACCAAUCUGGAUAUCCUUGCCUCCUCUGCACCAGUAAGAAACCAUUUCCAUCUUCUUCUGUGUUUCUAACAUUUCUGAAGUCUUAGACUUACUUUUGCCAUCUCUCCUUAAACAAAAUCUGAUUAAUUUGUCAUUGCUCAGAUAUUGGACUCCAGCAAACUAUUCCUCAGUCCCUACAUUUGUCUUAAUAACGCUCCUUAAGAACCACCACACUGCUCCUCCAGCAGUCCUCCUGGCUCACCUGCUUGUCCACCCUUCAACAAUUCACUGAUCAACAACUCCAACCUGGAAAAAAAGGACAAAAGAAGACAAUGACUAACUCCACCAAUGACAAAGCUCCUUCCUAGCUCAACCUGUGUGGAUAUACUCAGCACAUCUGCACCAAAAUCUGUUUUGUCUGUCAGUACUCAGAUGCUGGAUUCCAGCGUAUUGUUCCUCAGUCCCUCCAUCUGUUUUGACAACUCUUCUUAAGAACCGCCCUCCUGGCACACCUGCCUGUCCAUCCUUCAGAGAUUCACCAUAGUCACCUUGCCUGCACCAACCAGCAGGUCUCCUGAGGAAGACUACAGACUGUUCACCUCCUACAAGUGAUUUUCUGGCUGACCUCCUGGAACAAUGGCUC